rnacentral:rRNA from 1 species
GACGAACGCUGGCGGCGUGCUUAACACAUGCAAGUCGAACGGUGAAGCGCCUUACUUUUUGGUGGGUGUGGAUGAGUGGCGAACGGGUGAGUAACACGUGAGUAACCUGCCCCCUUCUUCUGGAUAACCGCAUGAAAGUGUGGCUAAUACGGGAUAUUCUGGGUCUGUCGCAUGAUGGGUCUGGGAAAGAUAUUGUUUCGGUGGGGGAUGGGCUCGCGGCCUAUCAGCUUGUUGGUGGGGUGAUGGCCUACCAAGGCGGUGACGGGUAGCCGGCCUGAGAGGGUGGACGGUCACACUGGGACUGAGCCACGGCCCAGACUCCUACGGGAGGCAGCAGUGGGGAAUAUUGCACAAUGGGCGCCAGCCUGAUGCAGCGACGCCGCGUGAGGGAUGGAGGCCUUCGGGUUGUGAACCUCUUUCGCCAGUGAAGCAGGCCUGCCUCGUUUGUGGGUGGGUUGACGGUAGCUGGAUAAGAAGCGCCGGCUAACUACGUG